CUGGAGUCUGGAAAACCACGCGGGAGGAGGUUGUGGGGAUAUGGACGAGCAUCCGAGGCCCCCGGGUGCGUACGGCUGCGCAUGAGUGGGCUGUAAUCGGGUGUCUGGGGUUACAGACGUUCCACGUUCCGUCUCCCUGUGCCAGCCCUCAGGACCUGAGCAGCGGCCUUGCCGUAGCCUAUGUGCUGAACCAGAUGUGAGUGGAGCUGAAGGGGAGGAUCCCAAAAGUGUCCCCCAGUCUGCUCAUCCCACCUUCUCGCCCCCAGAGACCCCUCCUGGUUCAACGAGGCAUGGCUCCAGGGCAUCUCGGAAGAUCCAGGUCCCAACUGGAAGCUGAAGGUGACAAGUGGACUCCUGAUUAGAGGACAGACUGGUGAAGAGAUGACCAGGGACGGGCCAGCUAGGCACAUGUCCUGGGUGAUGGGCAGGAAGAGGGACAGAUGUCUGGUGAUCAACCAUUUGUUCAUCCAUUC
rnacentral:sRNA from 1 species